rnacentral:rRNA from 1 species
CCUACGGGAGGCAGCAGUGGGGAAUAUUGCGCAAUGGGCGAAAGCCUGACGCAGCGACGCCGCGUGAGGGAUGAAGGUCUUCGGAUCGUAAACCUCUGUCAGCAGGGAAGAACGGUCACUGUGCUAAUCAGCAGUGAAUUGACGGUACCUGCAAAGGAAGCACCGGCUAACUCCGUGCCAGCAGCCGCGGUAAUACGGAGGGUGCGAGCGUUAAUCGGAAUUACUGGGCGUAAAGCGCUCGUAGGCGGUAUGUCAAGUCAAGGGUGAAAUCCCCGCGCUCAACGUGGGAACUGCCUUUGAAGCUGGCAAACUGGAGUGUGUGAGAGGAUAGUGGAAUUCCAGGUGUAGGAGUGAAAGCCGUAGAUAUCUGGAGGAACAUCAGUGGCGAAGGCGACUAUCUGGCACAUAACUGACGCUGAGGAGCGAAAGCGUGGGUAGCAAACAGGAUUAGAUACCCUAGUAGUC